rnacentral:tRNA from 18 species
GGCCCCGUAGCUCAGGGGAUAGAGCGGCCGCCUCCUAAGCGGCAGGUCGAUGGUUCGAAUCCAUCCGGGGUCACCA